rnacentral:rRNA from 1 species
CGGUAGGUGGCAAGCGUUGUCCGGAAUUAUUGGGCGUAAAGCGCGCGCAGGCGGCUUCUUAAGUCCAUCUUAAAAGUGCGGGGCUUAACCCCGUGAUGGGAUGGAAACUGAGAGGCUGGAGUAUCGGAGAGGAAAGUGGAAUUCCUAGUGUAGCGGUGAAAUGCGUAGAGAUUAGGAAGAACACCGGUGGCGAAGGGCGACUUUCUGGACGACAACUGACGCUGAGGCGCGAAAGCGUGGGGAGCAA